GUGCUCGCUUCAGCAGCACAUAUACUAAAAUUGGAAUGAUACAGAGAAGAUUAGCAUGGCCCCUGUGCAAGGAUGACACGAAAAAUAUUUUU
rnacentral:snRNA from 1 species